rnacentral:lncRNA from 1 species
CCUCUUCUCUUACUUCCCUAGGAUUGAACCCUAGACGAGCACCUGUUAGUUUCAAGAACCCUAUAUUUCAAUAUAUUAAAGCAGAAAAUGGUAGGGUUUUGAUAAAAGUGUCACCUGAGUUCAUAAUUAAGCUUCUUACAAGGGGAAAAGAAGACGGAUCACAAGAUAAUGUUGCAACUACGACAAGUCCUACCUUACAAGAGGAAAAGAAGACGGAUCACAAGAUAAUGUUGCAACAACGACAAGUCCUAGUGAUGGUAAAUUUUUAUGUUACACACCUGUGUUGAAGAAACAUUAUGAACAAUUGGUUGGACCAUAAGAACAAGUUUGGUCACCUAAGCUUGAGACCAUUUCUGAUUACAAAAUUAGGUAUUCUCCUUGUAGGUUUAUAGGUUUGGAAUGGAAGCAGAAAGAAGAAUGAAAAGUUUUUCUUGUUGAUUUUGGUGUAUAGCAAUUAAGUAGAAGUUGAAGGCCUUGUAACAGAUCGAAACAAGUGAUCCAGACACAAAGUAAACACUGAAACAAAGACUGAACAGCAAAGAGUGAACCAGGGACUGAACAA